ensembl:misc_RNA 7SK 7SK RNA
GGAAUUGUGUGAGGAAGCUCUGGCUCUGAUGUGGUGCCCAUUGACCAGGGAUUGGUUUGGGUGAUCUGUCUGGCAAGGCAGGUGCUUUCUUCUCUCUCCACUCCACAUGAGCCCUUCCUGAAGCUGUGUCCUGGAUGAAAGAAGAGACAGAGGAGGAACAUUCUUUGGUGAAGGGUAAAUGAAUAGCUAAGCUACUAUAACAUCUAAACAAGCCUGCAAGAUCUGUUUGCAGGAGAACAUGGCUAAGUUUCCAGGAACCUAGGCAAAUCUAAAUGAGGUACUACAUGUGGCAGUGGGUCUUUAAAU